rnacentral:tRNA from 1 species
AGUAAAAUGGCUGAUAAAAAGUGAUAAAUUGUAAAUUUAUUUAUAAAUAGAAAUAUUUUUUUACUA